UAAGAACACCCGCUGAACUUAAGCAUAUCAAUAAGCGGAGGA
rnacentral:rRNA from 1 species